rnacentral:rRNA from 1 species
ACGGGUGAGUAACAUUUAGGAAUCUGCCUAGUAGUGGGGGAUAGCUCGGGGAAACUCGAAUUAAUACCGCAUACGACCUACGGGUGAAAGGGGGCGCAAGCUCUUGCUAUUAGAUGAGCCUAAAUCAGAUUAGCUAGUUGGUGGGGUAAAGGCCCACCAAGGCGACGAUCUGUAACUGGUCUGAGAGGAUGAUCAGUCACACCGGAACUGAGACACGGUCCGGACUCCUACGGGAGGCAGCAGUGGGGAAUAUUGGACAAUGGGGGCAACCCUGAUCCAGCCAUGCCGCGUGUGUGAAGAAGGCCUUUUGGUUGUAAAGCACUUUAAGCAGGGAGGAGAGGCUAAUGGUUAAUACCCAUUAGAUUAGACGUUACCUGCAGAAUAAGCACCGGCUAACUCUGUGCCAGCAGCCGCGGUAAUACAGAGGGUGCGAGCGUUAAUCGGAAUUACUGGGCGUAAAGCGAGUGUAGGUGGCUCAUUAAGUCACAUGUGAAAUCCCCGGGCUUAACCUGGGAACUGCAUGUGAUACUGGUGGUGCUAGAAUAUGUGAGAGGGAAGUAGAAUUCCAGGUGUAGCAGUG